rnacentral:rRNA from 1 species
GUCGGUGUUUUUAGCGAUGAGGAACCACCCGUUCCCAUUCCGAACACGGCAGUUAAGCUCAUCAGCGCCGAAGAUACUUGGCUGGAGACGGCCCGGGAAAAUAGGUCGAUGCCGACA